UGACCACUUUCAUUUAGAAAAAUGUGAAAGUUGAGGCCAUACGGACAGCCGGGUCAAGUGCCGA
rnacentral:sRNA from 12 species